CAGUCGCCGCGGUAAUACGUAGGGUGCAAGCGUUGUCCGGAAUUAUUGGGCGUAAAGAGCUCGUAGGCGGUGUGUCACGUCGGCUGUGAAAACCUGGGGCUCAACCCUGGGCCUGCAGCCGAUACGGGCAGACUAGAGUUCGGCAGGGGAGACUGGAAUUCCUGGUGUAGCGGUGAAAUGCGCAGAUAUCAGGAGGAACACCGGUGGCGAAGGCGGGUCUCUGGGCCGAUACUGACGCUCAGGUGCGAAAGCGUGGGGAGCAAACAGGAUUAGAUACCCCCGUAGUCCCUGUCUCUUAUAA
rnacentral:rRNA from 1 species